UUAAAUGGAAACCUAUAUAAAAAAUUCCAUAAAUUUUAGACGAAAUUUUAGUUUAAAUACUUUUUUGACUUCCGUCAAGCCGUUAACAUAAUAUUAUACUUUUUAGUUAGGAUAGGAGUAGAAUUGUAGUGAAGCGUCAUUUAUACGGUGGCGGGACGAGCGGCGUUUCAGUAGUGCUUCACUACUCUCAUCUUAUCCACAAAACACGAACUUAAAAGUGGAAUAUCACGUCGACGGGUUGACGAAAAUUGAAAAUGUCAACACAAACAUUUAUUUAAACUAAAAUGUUCAAUAUUAUAGGUUGCGAUUUGAAAACCUAAAGCGGAUAGUGGUUCCACUUCCGAAAAUAUAGGUGACGCAAAAUAACGGCGAUGUAACAUUUUAAAACCGAUUGUUUCUUAAAUGUUCAAAAAAAACAAUUUCCUGAAAGAGUUAAACAUUUUUCAAGAUAACGAGUGUCUUAUCGACCUGCAUAGUUUUAUUAUUGUCCAUACGAGAGUGCAGAACCAUACAGAUAAGAAUGGCGAUUAGAAUGAGAGAUUGUAAUAGUGGUAUUAUUUCAAUAAUAUGAUUAUUGAUUCACGAUAAGAGAAUCAGUUUGUUUAUUAUACGGAAUACCUAAUAAUGACCCGAGCAUAAUAAAUAAUCGAUUUAACAAUAUAAUAGCGUUGUCCACACGACAUGGCGAAUUUACUGUAUGUUUCAUAAUAUGGAAUAUCAGUUCACAGCUAUUGCGGAUUCCUAUAUGUUUCACAUGCCGGUUUCUUACACUUAGUGCAAUGAUAAUUAAAUGAGCUGCUCGUGUCGAUGCAUCUUAUUUUCUAUUGAUAAAGGUACCUGUCUUCAAUUUUUAUCUGAGCAUUUUUAUUUUCUAAUCUUUUGAGCCAUUGUUAUUCCACACGUGUUUACUUCGUCAUGAGUCGAUUCCAAAUCUAAAUUCAAAAAAAUCUGAUCACGAAUAUUCACGAUUGUAAAGUUUAUUAACUGUAUUAUGCAUAAUAAUAUAAUAGAGCGAAUAGCUAAAUAUCUAUAUCAUCUGAUAAACCUGGAUAAUUUUUAGUAUUAAAAUAUGAAUGUCAAUGAUCCAAAUAAAGUUGCACUCUUAUCAUUUUUACCUUCAAAUAGUGAGCACGUUAUUGAAUUAAUUUUUAAUAAGCCUUAAAUCAUUGCCCAUUGGGAUCUAACACGGUUCUAUUUAUAAUCGUGAUAUCUAAUUAAUGUUAUUAUUCAAUUGUGUUGAAAUAAUACAAAAUGAUAUGUUUAAUUUGCACUUGCACCGGCCUGCACCAGUACGAUUAUCAGUGAACUGCACUAUUGCACCCAGGUUGCAAUCGUGCAGUCAACCCAAAAUAGGUACCUUUAACUCCUUAUCAAUUAUUAUGUACGAAGUAUUCCGUCGGUCCGUUACCCGUUACUAAAAUGCUAAGUAGUAUAAUGGUAAACACAAUAAGUAAU